GCCCCCUUGGUCUAGCGGCCCAGGACACCAGGAUCUCAUCCUGGAGACGUCGGUUCGAGUCCGGCAGGGGGUA
rnacentral:tRNA from 2 species